rnacentral:rRNA from 1 species
AUGCUCGUAGGGUCCGAUCAUGACAACAUGGAUGAUGACGAGGAAGGGAGCAUGUCGUCUGCUAUACCUAGCGAGGUUGAUCCAUUAGAAUUUGUUUACACAAACAUCCCCGACACCACUCACAUCCUGAAGCUCGACGCAAACUGCAAACACUGCAAGGCCAAAAAGUUUGUCUCUACCGACAGGUUCUGCUGUCGCAAUGGCCAGAUCGAACUUAAACAACCGGAGCCAAUCCCAGAGCUGAUGAGGCUAUGGUCAAGCAUGGAUGCAGAUUCUAGACAUUUUCGGGAGAACAUACGGUUCUUCAACGGGCAUUUCGCCUUCACAACCCUUGGCGUCAGCCUUGAUGAGAACUACACAAACAUGAAGUCUGGGGUGUACACAUUCCGUGCGCACGUCUCCAUCUACCACAAUGUGCAUUCGUUCGGGCCUAGCUCCCUUCCAGAACAUCUGCAGUUGUACUUCUAUGAUGACGACCCAACCAUAACUCAUCGUAAGGUGGCCACCAAGCAAUUAGACCAGGAUGUCGUGAAGAAGUUAGUAGACAUACUCAAAGAAAACCUGUACUCCCAGCAAUUUAGGAGUUUGGGUGCACACAAGGACAACCUCGAUGAUUAUAGGAUAGACCUAAACACCGAUAAGAGGCUUGACCAAAGAAGAUAUAAUAGACCGUUGUCAUCUGAGGUCGCUGCAAUUUGGGUUGAGGGCAACGACCUAGCAAAAAGGUUUGACCGGAGGAUAACUUUGUGGUAA